CCAAUAUUCACAUUCGUAUUAUGUUAAAAUAAUGUUACUCUUUUGCCAGCCUAUAAUAGCAUCAGUAAUCAAAUAUACAUAUUUGAUUGUUCUAACAUGAAUAUGAGUGGUCUACAUUACUUAUAUGUAUACACAAGCAUACGACUCUUGACCGUCAGCGGAGUGACCGUGGGUGAAGGACAGCUACUGAGAUGUCGUAGUACCUACCAAGAAGGCGAGCAUACGUGGACAACUCAAUCUAGGUCCCAACUGCCUCUAAAUCUAAAAACAUGAAGUUUAAAAACGUGAGUAUGAAACUCAAUGAGUGAACAAGAAAGGAACAAGCAUACCAUAAGAAAUGUUUAACGAAAUCAUGAUGCAUUCAUUUUUCAAAACAAUGCAAUUUAUUUUCUAGUUCUUAUUAAACCCCUCAUGUAAACCCCACAUGAGUAAAUCACUUUAUGAAAAGGGUCCAUGCUCAACAAAGGAUUUGGAGAGUGAAAACUUUAAUAGCAUUCAUGCGAAUCAAGUCAAAUAAACGACGGGUUCUCGCUGCAGCGAAUGAAUUUUUGCUACAGUGACACUUAACUUAAAUUAUCAACUGGCCAAGGGUUUCUCACCAAACCUCUUCAUUUUAAACUUAAUUCAUUUAUUCCUUAAUGUUGGAAGUCCAUGCUCAACUGUUGUACUAAAGAAAUGGAAGAUAGGGUAGCAACCGAACCAAAUGAGGAGCAAAACAGAAAGAUUUUCGCUGCAGCGAGAUUGAUUCUCGCUGCAACGAGAAGCUACAGUAACAUUCUCGUUGCAGCGAGAUUUCAGCCAACACCAACCCUUCAAACCAAAGAGUUUCUCGCUGCAGCAAGAAACAGGGCACCAGAAAAAAUUCCCCAUUCCCUCAAGCAAAGGCCACCCUGUUCACAUGACCAACACAACAUGAAACUCAUAUAAUUUCCAAAAGUUUAACAUGUCAAUUUCACAUGCAUUUCAACCAUAUACAUGAAAUUUCUAUAACUCACACUUUUACAUAUACAUACAUCGUCAUCAUGUGUGCACACCCUACUCGCACACUUUGUCAUCAUCACGUGUGCACUCCUUACUCGCACACUCCAUCAUCAUCAUGUGUGCACUUCCAUCUCGCACUCUAUCAUCAUCAUGUGUGCACUCCCUACUCGCACACUCUAUCAUCAUCAUGUGUGCACUCCUUACUCGCACACUUGAACAUCACCACCCAACAUCAUUCAUCAAUACACAGCACAUAUUCAUAAGAUAUAUACAUACAUACCAACAUAAUAUAAAGUACUUGAAUUCAUCCUUAUUCACAUCUCACAUUUCACAAUAUCAAAAACAUUUAAUCAAGACUUGUUCCCUAGCACACAUUUUUUAAGAAAGAUUGGAAAAAACCAUUCAAAUAUCUUGUGCAAUUACAUUCACAUUCCCAAAACAAGUUUGAAAAGCAAGUCCACUCACCUGAAUUUAUUGAGCGUUUAACCGACUCUAACUUUCCUAAUGGUCCAAUUAGGGCUGUGGGACUUCAUUAGAACCUAUCAUCACAUUAGUAUCACCAAUAUGUCAAUUCACAUACUUAUAAAGUCUAAAGCUAUCUCUUAGCUAGCUUCCAAUUGCCAUUUAAAUGGCUAUUUAUUUUCACUACUCUAAUCACUCUAAAAUGAGUGGAUAACCUCAACUACAACAUUCACAAGUCUACUUACUAAUCAUUCCCAACACAAAAAAAUAAAUUCUAAUUCAUUACUCACCUUGGUAGCUUGUAACUUUAAAAUUCUUUCUAAUAAAUUUUCCAAGCUAUUAUGGGAGCUUUCUCUCUCUUUCUCUCUCUAAACACCUAACUAGUGAGAGAAAGUAUGAAAGUGAGAAUUUUCAAGGGUUUUGAAGUGAAAGAGCACAAGGGUUCCAUGAAAAGGUACACAAAGGCAUGAAAAUUGAAGUUAGAGAGAGAAAGUUAUGAAGUUUUCAUACCAUGCUUCCAUGGAGGGGGGGGGGAAACAAACUUGAGAUGGAAGGAGGAAGAAGAAG
rnacentral:lncRNA from 1 species